AAGUAUCUCCCUUUCUCUCUUUCUACUAAAAAGUCCAUUCUGUCUUAAGUAUCUGUAGAAUUCUUGGUAGGAGCGGCUGUAAGAGCUGUCUCCAACUCCUACACUAAUACUCAGGCUGGUAGGUUUUUACCGUAGGAUUCUGGGGCUGCCUCUCUUCACAUCGCAAUAGGGCAGUCCCAGUGCGGCCACAGCAAAUGGCACAGACAGGAUGCUGCCUUUCUCUUUUAAUUCCAGAGAAAAGCAUCAAAGAAUAAUUCAGUAGCACUGAGCCAGCUUGGAACUUGCUGAGCAGGAAUUGCCCAAAAGAGUGGAGAAGAAAGAAGACAACGUUUCACCCAAUUCUUUCUCUGCUAUGUUACUCACUCACUGAAGAGCUUACAGACCCUAACUGGAAUUUCUUCUCCCAGGCGAUGCCAACUGCUAUCUUGUCUUUUCUCCAAGGAAUCUGGAAACUUGUACACUAAGAAAACACAUAUUAGCUCCUCAAAUACAGGAAAUAGAGAAUUCUGAUAAACUUGGAGAUGUCCAAUUAGGACAAACCCUUCUGUGAGUGAAGAAAUAAUUAAAAGAAGAAGAUUUCCUCUUUAAAGUUUUGCUGUUCUGAUGCUCAUUGGUAAUGUAACAUUUUUGGAGUUAAAAAUAAAC
rnacentral:lncRNA from 1 species